UGCUCCCGAGUUAUUGUGAGAGCGUGUGGACUGUACAUCGUGUGUUCUUAAAGAAAGUACACGAUGCUCAUGCUUCUGCUGUGUCCCGUGAAUUGGACACAGGAGAUAUAGAUACCGCUCGAGCCGGAGCGCGUGACCUCCCGAAGCUCGCUGGAGGCUGAAAAUGUCAUUCGUGGCUUUUGAAACUGUAUUCACAGAGAUUUUCACUACAGUUGUCACAGAGAUUAACACCCCCUCGACGAGGCUCAUUAAACCGAGAGACACCCGGGCGACUGUACAGAUGGCACCAUGGAAAGACACCGCAAUGGAAACAGCAGAUUCUAGAGGGGUCAACUGCGCCCUCUGACCGCCGGCCCCUCCGCGCUCCAGUCCCGCCAGUGGGCAGUGGAGAGGGCGGCCAGCUGCGAUGCUCACUUGACCGUUCUCUGUGAUGCGAAGCACUAUGUUGUUGUCCAGGACAUACAGGGAGUUGUCCAUGGGGCUAAUUGCUAGGUCUGUGGGCCACUCCAAAAUCACCUGAAAUACAGGACAUUAUUAGAUUAUGGUCUAUUGUUUUGUUUUUUUCCCCCCACAAGACAUUAUUGCAGCACUACACAAAUUAAAUAAAAUGUAAUUGCUGCUUUCUCAAAGUAAUCCUGACCCAUAAUUGAUUUAAAUAUAUGCACAUAUAAGAUAUAUUGUUCAUUGUUUAUAUAUUGCCCAGUUCAUUGGCCCAUAAACAAUAAAACACAUCUCAAAUUUGCAUUGUGGGAUUGUCUAAGAUCAGCAGACAUAGAAAAAACAUGUAUUGAGGCUGUAACAGAAUAUCUUAGAUAGAAAACGCAUGAAUAUAUCUUCAUUAUAGUUGUGUGCAGGCAGCGUCCUGCUCUUUGAAACUGUCCCCUGUUCCUCUAGCCGCGGACAGACGCUACUCGCUCAUAAAAAAAUACUUUUAUCCAUGAUUCUCAGUGGGUGAAACACAUUCUAACUUGUUGAUGAUUGAGACAUUGGCUAGUGUGGGUAUCAAACGUUAGCAGUGCAGUCUGUGCUAGAUCAUCAAACUCAGAGUGUAUAAUUUCAAAGGGCCAGAAGGAAAAAUACAUAAUAUGCGAUGAUAAAACCUUUGGGUCAUAAGAUUAUCUCUUAUCUUCAUGUUGUUUUGAUCCCUGCGAUCAAUACAUUACUUUACAGCCGGUGCUGAUAAAUGAAUUUAAAGGAUAAUUCUGGCCACAGUGACUGUUGAGAUCACUUUAAACGAUGCCCUCUCUCCCUUCCAAAGACUGAACUUUUAACGUGCAGCUUCUGAGAUUUCAAACUAAACGGAGCACCGGGGCUUUAUCCCCUGUAUGGCUGUAGUAUACUGUAGCUACAAAAUAACCUUGAGCCUGCACUUCACGCCUUCCUGCUCCAUUUGUGCUGCAACCUGAGAGAGAUGCUCUCUAUGGGGGGGAGGGGGGGAUCAAUUAAGUAAAUCAAAUUAAAUCAAAAUGAAGUAAGAAAAUAUUUUAAAAAUUGAUAGCAAUAUUACCGCGUCUUGGAAAAACAAAUGUGUCAGUGCGUAAAAAGCUUAUUUGUAACAGCACAAAUAACUGGCAUGGCCUUCAAAUAUGUAACUAUGUGAUUAUGUGAUUAAAACUACAAUUGCUCCUGAAUUGUGCUUUUCGACAGGGUGGUUAAUAAUAAAACACACUGGCUUUAAGUCUGCCACUAGUGAAACUGCACGGGGCCAGAUCUCUAGCUUGGACGCCUAAGGAUCAAACGGUCUCGCCGAAACCAUGUCUUUAUUGGUUGAAAUCAAAUGAUUUGGUUAAUUAGCAAAAAGUGACAAGCUUAAUCCUUUAUGUUCUCCCCCCUUCAUGUUGACCACCCACAUACACAUAACUAACUCAAACACAGAUGGCUUUCUCUUCCGUGUACAUUUAAAAUGUUCUCAUGUUACCAAAAACACCCUUUAAUUUUUCCCCAGCCCUUUUUUUUCUUGUAAUGCAUUUCUACUGUUAUCUAACCUCUGGUAAGUACAGGUCGGGGUCAUCGGUUUUGAUUGUUUUGUUUGUACUCUUUCUUUUUGUAAGCCGAUCUGCAUUAGAACAUUAGGAAUCUAAUUAAAAUGUAAAUUGGUUAGUUAAAAACCAAACCAAAACAAAACGCUAUUAUGUCUGGUGCACACAUGUAAGAGGUUGGAGAACCUGAUCCUGAGGCAAAUUCAUUCUCAACACUCAAUACACUCAAGAAUUUACCUUUUCACUUUCACUCUGCAGAAAGAGUAUUUGUGAGCUGCUAUGAAAGCAUCCAUUUUCAUAUGACAGAAACCUUUUUUGGCUUUUAGUUUUUCUCCUCAAGUCAGCUCUCAAAACUCUAAAGGGGUGAAACGAGGAGGGGUAUUAAUGGACAGGGAGCUGCACUCCCACCGCGGAAGAAAUGUCCUAAUGCUUCGACCUGGUGUGUAAGGACAGGGCGCUGCUUUUAUGUCACCUCAUUCGCAGGUGGAUGGUACAUUUUGUUGGACAAAACCAGCCGACCGUCAGAUGCUGCAGAAGAAGUUUCAUCUCUGGCAACGCCGCAGCCGUGUGCUGCUUCAUUAUCAUGUGUGGUCUAAGUGUCCUCAAUCCUGAGGGUUUCAAGUGGAACACUAAACACUAAUUCAGCCCUGGCCACAUCAAAACAAGCCCCCCAAACUGAGUAAUUAUUCUUCCCUCCAUAUCAUCCGCCGUGACCUGAAACCUCAUCUCUUCAAUAAACACUUCAUGUCUCCACUUCUUGCCUAAAUCACAUCCUCCUCCUAGCACAU